rnacentral:rRNA from 1 species
CCUACGGGGGGCAGCAGUGGGGAAUAUUGGACAAUGGGCGCAAGCCUGAUCCAGCCAUGCCGCGUGUGUGAAGAAGGCCUUAUGGUUGUAAAGCACUUUAAGCGAGGAGGAGGCUACUUUAGAUAAUACCUAGAGAUAGUGGACGUUACUCGCAGAAUAAGCACCGGCUAACUCUGUGCCAGCAGCCGCGGUAAUACAGAGGGUGCAAGCGUUAAUCGGAUUUACUGGGCGUAAAGCGCGCGUAGGCGGCUAAUUAAGUCAAAUGUGAAAUCCCCGAGCUUAACUUGGGAAUUGCAUUCGAUACU